UGGCCAAGUCCGAGGCGCCCCGCAAGGGGAGCGGCAUACGGGUGAGUAACGCGUGGGAACGUAUUAAAAGAAACGGAAUAACUCAGGGAAACUUGUGCUAAUACCGUAUGUGCCCUUCGGGGGAAAGAUUUAUCGGCAAAGGAUCGGCCCGCGUUGGAUUAGCUAGUUGGUGAGGUAAAGGCUCACCAAGGCGACGAUCCAUAGCUGGUCUGAGAGGAUGAUCAGCCACACUGGGACUGAGACACGGCCCAGACUCCUACGGGAGGCAGCAGUGGGGAAUAUUGGACAAUGGGCGCAAGCCUGAUCCAGCCAUGCCGCGUGAGUGAUGAAGGCCCUAGGGUUGUAAAGCUCUUUCACCGGUGAAGAUAAUGACGGUAACCGGAGAAGAAGCCCCGGCUAACUUCGUGCCAGCAGCCGCGGUAAUA
rnacentral:rRNA from 1 species